AUGCGUCUGCAAUAUCGCAAUAAGAAAGCGACGCUAUGGCUGAUGGUCACCAUAGUCGUUGUCACUAUGUUCCUCUUCAAAUUCACCGAAUUCGCGCCAACGUGUUUCUUCAAGAACGACGUUACGUCGCCGGAUGGUUCGCUGAUGGUGCGCGAAGAGAAAUAUGUGGUGGGUGAAGAUCAAAAGACUUAUUCAUAUGGACGCGAAAUGCCGCUAAUAUUUAUUGGCGGUGUGCCCAGAUCGGGGACAACGCUGAUGCGCGCCAUGUUGGAUGCACAUCCGGAUGUGAGAUGCGGCCAGGAGACACGUGUCAUACCACGUAUACUGCAAUUACGCUCGCAUUGGAUGAAAUCGGAGAAGGAAUCGAUGCGACUAAUGGAGGCGGGCAUCACCAAGGAGGUGAUGAACGGUGCAAUAGCACAAUUUUGUCUCGAAAUCAUCGCUAAACAUGGCGAACCAGCGCCUCGUCUAUGCAAUAAGGAUCCGCUGACGCUAAAGAUGGGCUCCUACGUGAUAGAACUAUUUCCAAAUGCGAAGUUCCUGUUUAUGGUAAGAGAUGGGCGCGCCACAGUGCAUUCAAUCAUCUCGCGCCAUGUGACGAUAACCGGCUUCGAUUUGACCAGCUAUCGGCAGUGUAUGCGGAAGUGGAACUUCGCCAUCGAAGUGAUGCACAACCAAUGCAAGGAGAUCGGCAAGGAGCGCUGCAUGAUGGUUUACUACGAACAAUUGGUUCUGCAUCCGGAGGAGUGGAUGCGAAAAAUAUUGAAAUUCCUGGAUGUUCCAUGGAAUGAUGCGGUUUUGCAUCACGAGGAGUUCAUCAAUAAGCCAAAUGGUGUGCCGCUCUCCAAAGUGGAGCGCUCCUCGGAUCAGGUUAUCAAACCGGUAAAUUUGGAAGCACUCUCCAAAUGGGUAGGCAAUAUACCUGAAAAUGUGGUACGUGAUAUGGCCGAUAUUGCGCCCAUGUUAUCGGUGCUCGGUUAUGAUCCCUAUGCGAAUCCACCGGAUUAUGGUAAGCCAGAUGCUUGGGUACAGGAUAAUACUUUUAAGGAUUAGUUCAAAUGAUGAAUAUAAGCUUAGUAUAAGCUUAAGCUCCAAUUUCGAAAAUCAACGAAAAAAAGUGAAUAAAUAACGAAACAAAAAUAAACUCAAUCAACUAAAACGAAAAAAAUAGCAAACAUACUGAUAUUCUGGAAACCUGUAGCUGUCUAAAUACAACGGAGAUUCAGGGGAUCAAAUCGAAUUAAAAUAAUAAAAAAAAAACAUAUGAUAGUUAACCUUAUGAUGUCCAAAAGUUACUAUGACAAUCUUUACAUGUAAAAAACCGUUUUGAUGAAAACUAAGAAAUUGUAAAAAGCAAUAACCUAAAAAACCGGAUAUAAACAGAUCGAUGCCAACAAAGAUGGCUUCAUCGAUUUGAGCGAGUUGAAGGACGCUUUGGAUCAGGUCGGUUUCAAAUUGCC
rnacentral:misc_RNA from 1 species